AACGAACGCUGGCGGCAGGCUUAACACAUGCAAGUCGAGCGCCCCGCAAGGGGAGCGGCAGACGGGUGAGUAACGCGUGGGAACGUACCUUUUGGUUCGGAACAACUCCGGGAAACUGGAGCUAAUACCGGAUAAGCCCUAACGGGGAAAGAUUUAUCGCCGAAAGAUCGGCCCGCGUCUGAUUAGCUAGUUGGUGAGGUAACGGCUCACCAAGGCGACGAUCAGUAGCUGGUCUGAGAGGAUGAUCAGCCACACUGGGACUGAGACACGGCCCAGACUCCUACGGGGGGCAGCAGUGGGGAAUAUUGGACAAUGGGCGCAAGCCUGAUCCAGCCAUGCCGCGUGAGUGAUGAAGGCCUUAGGGUUGUAAAGCUCUUUUGUCCGGGAAGAUAAUGACUGUACCGGAAGAAUAAGCCCCGGCUAACUUCGUG
rnacentral:rRNA from 1 species